rnacentral:rRNA from 1 species
UACGUAGGGGGCAAGCGUUGUCCGGAAUUAUUGGGCGUAAAGCGCGUGUAGGCGGCUCGGUAAGUCUGCUGUGAAAGUCCAGGGCUCAACCCUGGAAUGCCGGUGGAUACUGUCGAGCUAGAGUCCGGAAGAGGCGAGUGGAAUUCCUGGUGUAGCGGUGAAAUGCGCAGAUAUCAGGAGGAACACCAAUGGCGAAGGCAGCUCGCUGGGACGGUACUGACGCUGAGACGCGAAAGCGCGGGGAGCAAACAGG